CAUGAGCAACCUGCCGGUAGACAAGGAUACCCCGGGAAACCGGGGUUAAUACGAGAUAGGUGACCUUUGUGCAUGAGGGUCAUGAAAGCAGGCGGAAGCCGUCGCUUACGGAGGCGCCCGCGGCGCAUUAUCUAGUUGGUGAGGGAUAGGGCUCACCAAGGCGACGAUGCGUAGCCGGCCUGAGAGGGGUGAACGGCCACACUGGGACUGAGACACGGCCCAGACUCCUACGGGAGGCAGCAGUAGGGAAUCUUCCGCAAUGGACGGAAGUCUGACGGAGCAACGCCGCGUGAGUGAGGAAGGCCUUCGGGUCGUAAAGCUCUGUUGUUCGUGAAGAAGGGGUUGGCCAGGAAAUGGGCCGACAUUGACGGUAGCGAACCAGAAAGCCCCGGCUAACUACGUGCCAGCAGCCGCGGUAACACGUAGGGGGCAAGCGUUGUCCGGAAUGAUUGGGCGUAAAGGGCGCGCAGGCGGCCUCUUAAGUCAGAUGUGAAGGCCCACGGCUCAACCGUGGAGGGACAUUGGAAACUGGGGGGCUUGAGUGCAGGAGAGGGGAGUGGAAUUCCACGUGUAGCGGUGAAAUGCGUAGAGAUGUGGAGGAACACCAGUGGCGAAGGCGGCUCUCUGGCCUGUGACUGACGCUGAGGCGCGAAAGCGUGGGGAGCGAACAGGAUUAGAUACCCUGGUAGUCCACGCCGUAAACGAUGAGUGCUAGGUGUUAGGGGGGAGCACCCCUUAGUGCUGAAGUCAACACAUUAAGCACUCCGCCUGGGGAGUACGACCGCAAGGUUGAAACUCAAAUGAAUUGACGGGG
rnacentral:rRNA from 1 species